GAUCCCUGUUUUAAUUAGCUAAACCUCAUGGAUAUUUACGCCCUGUUUAGUUGCCAUUGAUAAAUAAUACUACUGGUAAUGAAAUUGUGCAAAGUUUAGCUAGGAAUUUUUUAUGCCAAAGUCUAUGCUAACGCAACUCUAUCCCUAAUUCCCUAUGUCUGAUUUUCUGUAUAGAUUUUCUUGUUCAAGUCUAUUCCUCCUCAAACAACCACAUGUUUGAAAUAGAGUUGCAUUACUAUGGACAUUGGGAUGGAAAUUUCCGUGCAAAACUACACACAAAUCCUUACCCUUACCACCUUUUGGUACUACAUACCAUAUGGCUGGGGUAAACAAAACCUUUAGAUGAUGGGAAAAUUUGCAAACCUGAUGUGUGUUUCUCUCCUUCAGUUUUGGAGCACAGUGUACGAAUUCAGGGUACAUUCGAUGAAGGUCCUCUCCUGUCAAAAUCAACAGCUACAGGGAAGAAGAAAAUGAUAUUUCUGACCAACAAUAGCAGAAGAAUGCAGAAAUAUUCAAACAAGAAAAGCCGCCAAUAUACCUGUAAUUUGACCGCUUUUCGACGAAACAACGAAGGAAUGCAAGAAGUAGCUCCAGCCAUUAAAAAGUGAAAUAAGACUGUGAGAGAUAAACUGGCAUGAUCUUCACUUGAAGUGCUGUUUUUGGGGUCCUCUCCGGCCUAUACACAGUCCAUAUUGCUUUGGAUGUUGAGAAAUGUAAUGCGGAAAUUGAAGCUGCAAGGUAUACAAACUUUGGUGAAUCCCUUGAACGAUGAAAGGAACAAAGACUUAGGAAGGGACAUUGAAGAUGAUAAGCCCAUGCUUUUCAAUAUAUAAGUGACUUCUGUUCAUAUAAAAUCAGGAAGUUACGGGAGAAAAAUAGGUAGAACAAAUAAAGACCCGGGAUAACCUAAGCUCGUGAGUCGUGAUACCAUGUCUGAUUGUGUAAUGAUAUUUUAGUACUUGACUCAUGAUAUGCAGAUUGCCUAUACCUUAUGCUACAUAAUGGUAAAAUUACUAGGGUCACAGCUAUAAAUCCAAUAAUCAACUUCAGACUUGUAAAUCGAAAAUCUGUGUGACCUGUUAUCCCAUUUGCUAGGAUUUCCAUCUUAGCUGCAACAGUUACAAAACAUUGCUUCUACGAUCCUUGAAGCUAGAAGCUUAGUGCUCCGCCUCUUAGAGAAAAUCAACACUUCCCUUUUGUUUAUUUUGUCCUCUUCACAAUGAAUAAUGAUCACCAAUCUGGUUAGAAAUGCAGGAUCACCAAUUUGCAGAAAGUUAUGGAAUGAAAUUUUACCUGAAGCUGGUACAUAAUGACAGAAAGAAGAGUCAACAGUGACUUCAUAGUCCCUCAUUAUACAAGUCUUAUGUCAAAUUGGUUAUUGAAAAAAGUGAAGAUGAAGGGGUUUAGCUUCUGAAGUCGAGCAUAAUCUCGCCUCAAGAGAGUAACAAAUCUAGCACCAUAGACUAGAUUACAGGACUAUGGACUGGGAAGGAAUCUAGGAUGGGAUAGUGAACUCUACUUUUGUCAUUUCCUUUAUCAAGUAAUAACUACUUCAAGGUCUUGAAUUAUAUACCAGACACACACAGACUCACACAUACAGAGACAAUAGGUUCUCCAUUUGUGAAACAUAUAUAGGAUGUGCAAUUUUUAUAAAAUGAAUGGUAUGAAUUUUUAUCUGAGAUGCUCAUUUUGUCCUGGUUCUUCACUAACCCCUUUCUGGAAAUUGUCAAAGAAUUAAUCAGACAUCCGAUUUCCCUUACACGGAAGAAUUAUGCUUCGUAUUAAUAUAUGUCGUUUCUUGGAUUUCAGUCCCCUUUUCUGAUCAGAAUGAAUCUGCAGCACCAGUGACAGAAAAAUAGUAUUAGAGGGAAACUCCAUAAAAGCCAUAAAGGCCCUUAAUCUCAAGCUAUCAGCAAAGAAAUGAUGGCAUAAUAGUUAUUAAGACAUUCAACAGAAAAUGUAGAAUCUCAAUCCUGAAUUCCUGAUGUAAAACCUGCUGGAGAUUGUCAUGUGUAGUGUCUUGAAUCUCAUGAAUCACAACUCAAUGAUUAAAUAGACUGGAAACCUAAAUAUCAUGUUCAAGUUCAUUGAUCCUUGACUCUUUUUUUUUACUCGACAUGUUUCUUGGAGAAUCAUUGUCACUAAUCCAGUGCUUCUUACUGCAAUUAAUGGCGGUUUUUGA